UCUCCGUCCACUGCUUCUACUUCCAGUAAAAAACAUACACACAUUAGCCACAUAUCCACCUCUCCAUCUUUCUACACAUCAAAAAGCUUCCAUCGGCUCCAAAACCAUUAGCCACAUAUCCACUUAGAAACAUACACACAAGAAGCUUCCAUCGGCUCCAAAACCACGUCUCUCUCUAAAAGCAUCGACAUACAAGAAGAUCUUUAUCUUCCCCAUCUGUCUCUCUCAUCCGGUAUCCUUUCACCGUCUUAACAUAGAAAUUUAGACUCCACGUCCACCGCUUACCUAUCGUCGUCGAUGGGGUUGCUUCUACAGACUUUAAGAAUGAAGAUGUAGGCGCCGAUACACACAUUAACUCAAUCGUCUGUUUCUCAUACCCAUUUCACCUCAUCGGCGUCUCCUUCUCCACCGCAAAACCGUCGACCGCUAAUUUCUGCCCUCUUGCAAUCGACCACUGACUGGGAGAGGGAAUCUUAUUUUAUUCUAUCUUCUCUGUGUUUGCUCUUGCCGACGACUACUUCUUCAACGACGAUGAUGUCAACAACAUCGGCGAUUUCGGUGCUCCUCCUUGGAUUGUUUCAAUCGAUUUAGAAGAGGUCACAACAGCUGGAGAUCAAAUACGGGCUACAGAUCAGGUAAUUACUGGUUGGAUUCGAGCAUUCAGUUUUAGGGUUUAUUAAGGGUGGAUUCAUUCUCAGGAUGUUUUAAUGUUGGUAUGUUUUCUGAUUACCUUACGUUACCGUAAAUUGAUGUAGAUUUUAAACAAGUUUACUUAACUUUGUUCUAAGCUUUAAUAUUGGGUGUAUACUUGUGGUUUUGAAAGAAUCGAUAACCUCAGUUGCGGAGGUUUGGUCAUGAGGAACGGUAAGUAAUUAUGUCCUGUUUUGAAAGCAUGUGUAAUUUUUUGGCAGUUAUACUUUUUUGGUAAAAUUUGAAUUGAUUUUGUCUUAGGAUAACGAAGAUAUAGAAUUCUUGUAUGAUCUAUUUCAAAAGUAUGACAAUAUUUACACAUAAAGUCUCAUACGUUGCUUAUCUGGUCUUGAUUAGUUCUGGUUUUUUUGGGUGUUAUUAUUUGGGGUAAGAUAGAUAUGGGAAGGUAGGUAAUAAAAUUAUUGUCAGAAAUUUCAUUUAUUAGUGAAUCAUGCCCUUGCUGUUAGUUUUUAAAAACAAAAUCUUAUAUCAUAACGCUUCUCUUUCAUAAAUGGGUCGUCAUGUCGUGGUUUUUUCUUCUUCAUGUGUUAAUAAUUGUUGCUUCAAGCCAACUGUCACUUUAACCCAGUUUGCAAGUUUGUUCCAAAUUACAAAAUAAAGAAAUAUUAAUACAUGGUUGAUAUUUUGUAGUAAGUUCAAUAUGAUAGGAUUGUGCCUAAUAGUUUCCCUUUGGAAAUUCUCAUCUAACAUAGUAUUUGCAUGGAAAUUAGGUUUCAAGGUCCCCUUGAAUCAAAACGCACAUCACAAAAUGAAGGAACUAAUAUAACAAUAGCUUACAGAGCAUUGGCAUCUUACAUAUCAGUUCUAAGAACCUUCCCGGAUUCUGCAUAAGGGCAUCUUUAAUGUGGAUGACCAAAGCAUGGCUGAUACAUUUUAUAGAUGGAGAUCACAUAUUUAUCCUUGGUAGCAAAAGUGAAAGAGACACAAGUACCCAUCAUUCAAGCCAUCAUUAACAAAUUCUAGGCACAAGGUCAUACUUGGGGAAUAAAUUUUUACUGAAGGUACAAGAAAAUGGAAUCGUCUGCGAGUCCUGGAAGUGGAGGUGAUUAGGUGGAGUUUGUUGAACAACUUUAUGAUGCGGUCCCACCAAACAUAGUUAACGGUUUGACUCCAGGUCUAUCAAUGUAAUGGAUAUAAAUACAAGGAUUUGCAGUUGGAAUUCCUAGGUGUGAAAUGUUUUCGAAGAAUGCAAAGAAGGUAUACUAAGCAUUCCAUUCAUGGGUUUUUGCACAAAAGGGUUCUUAAAUGUAUGAAGAUUGAAAUUCUGCCCCUGCGGAGCAGGGGUAACCCUCUCGGUAUUAUUAUUAAUAUUAUUAUUAUUUUUUUUUUC